UCCCAGUGGACACCACUUCAUCCACAGC
rnacentral:piRNA from 1 species